UUUGUCGAGCGAUUCGAAAAUAUUGAUUUACCGAAUACUCCGAGUGUAGUCGAUUGAAUAAGAAUGGGUGGCCAGCGGUGGCAUGCAUACUAUGGUUGCUCGAAUUGUAAAAAAGUUUAUGAUUCAAUUAAUAGCGAAAAGGACAAAAGACGACCAUGCCCUCAAUGCAAUACUCAGAAUGGUCCACUAGAUGAGGUUACCUCUGACUCGGGGAAGAUGAUCUGCUACAAUUGCAUGUACGGAAUACGUAAACAGUCCAAGAAAUGCAGCUGUUAAUAAGAUAAAACCAUCCAAAACUCGCAUUGUUUUUCCGAGAAAAAAAAAUCUGUUUGUCUCAAUCUCAAAUGAGUGCACCAGACUGCAUCGCUAAUUUUCGACCUGCUUUUGACAUCAUUUAGUUACGCCAUAUAACUUACAUCGAAUAUCUCAAAAAAAAAAAUAUUCACAAUAAUUCCGAAAUACAUUCGAUUUUGAGAACAAUCAUGUUCAUCGAAGCACUUUAAAAAUGAGUCUCUUUAUUUCGGUACAACAUAUUUUCUCUUGAUUUACAGACAGAAUGAUUCAUCUAUAAGGUAAUGUAUUUUUAUUCGAUUUUUCUUCAUUCGCAUGAAAUGGGCCGAAAACAAAAUUGCUGAUCUUGAUUACUCAUACUUGCCGAUUGUUUUUUUUUUACUUUUCAUAAACAGUCCAAAUUUCAGUUGAAAUGAUAACGACAGUCAUAAUAAAACAGUUUGGGCUUUUGCAUGAAAAUCAUUCGAUAAUUUAAACACUGUUAUUUAUUCGAAAUUCAGUCGCAGUACUUACAUUUUCGCUUGUCAACAUAUACAUUUUGGAUUUUUUGUUCGAUCGAUUAACGACUAAUUUCAUUAGUACGUUCAAUGCGCUCUGACAAACUGUUUGCCUCGAACAACUGCUGGAUUGAUUAUCUGAUCUAAGAGUUCAGUUUUCACAACAUUCAAAGACACCAGAGCAAAGAUGGAUGAUCACUGGUAUGCACUUUAUAUCUGCGGGUGCGGAAAGCAAUUCAUCCGUGCCAACGAAACGCUAAAUCAAUUUCGCAGUUGCCGAAAAUGCGGGACUUUCAUCGCUCCCACCUUGGAGAAAAAAUGGAUUAAAUAACGGUGUCCAAUGGCGGUGGUCAAUUAUGGAUAUGCCAGCAAAUACAAUAACCACAUCCUGUUCUCUCUCAGUUCAAGGAUUAUUUGACAGUAAAAUGCGAAGAAAUUCAUACUUUAUUUCUAGAAAAUUUACACUUUUGCUAAAAAAAAAAAAAAACAAAUAAAAAAUAAAUGUUCUGAUAAAUCAUAGAGCCAUAUCCGAAUAAUAGAAAAGUCAAUAAAUUCCUUUCAAAACUCA